AUUGAACGCUGGCGGCAUGCUUUACACAUGCAAGUCGAACGGCAGCGGGGUAGUGCUUGCACUACUGCCGGCGAGUGGCGAACGGGUGAGUAAUAUAUCGGAACGUACCGAGUAAUGGGGGAUAACCAAUCGAAAGAUUGGCUAAUACCGCAUACGUCCUGAGGGAGAAAGCGGGGGAUCGCAAGACCUCGCGUUAUUCGAGCGGCCGAUAACUGAUUAGCUAGUUGGUGGGGUAAAGGCCUACCAAGGCGACGAUCAGUAGCGGGUCUGAGAGGACGAUCCGCCACACUGGGACUGAGACACGGCCCAGACUCCUACGGGAGGCAGCAGUGGGGAAUUUUGGACAAUGGGGGCAACCCUGAUCCAGCCAUGCCGCGUGUAUGAAGAGGGCCUUCGGGUUGUAAAGUACUUUUGUUAGGGAAGAAAAGGGAAGUGCUAAUACCACUUUUUGCUGACGGUACCUAAAGAAUAAGCACCGGCUAACUACGUG
rnacentral:rRNA from 1 species